UGCAGUCGAGCGAACUGAUGAGAAGCUUGCUUCUCUGACGUUAGCGGCGGACGGGUGAGUAACACGUGGGCAACCUGCCCAAUAGUUGGGGAUAACUCCGGGAAACCGGGGCUAAUACCGAAUAAUACAUUUCAUCUCCUGUUGGAAUGUUGAAAGAUGGUUUCGGCUAUCGCUAUUGGAUGGGCCCGCGGCGCAUUAGCUAGUUGGUGAGGUAACGGCUCACCAAGGCGACGAUGCGUAGCCCACCUGAGAGGGUGAUCGGCCACACUGGGACUGAAACACGGCCCAGACUCCUACGGGAGGCAGCAGUAGGGAAUCUUCCACAAUGGGCGAAAGCCUGAUGGAGCAACGCCGCGUGAGUGAAGAAGGUUUUCGGAUCGUAAAACUCUGUUGUAAGGGAAGAACAAGUACAGUAGUAACUGGCUGUACCUUGACGGUACCUUAUUAGAAAGCCACGGCUAACUACGUGCCAGCAGCCGCGGUAAUACGUAAGUGGCAAGCGUUGUCCGGAAUUAUUGGGCGUAAAGCGCGCGCAGGUGGUCCUUUAAGUCUGAUGUG
rnacentral:rRNA from 1 species